AGAGUUUGAUCCUGGCUCAGGAUGAACGCUACCCCGCUACAGGCUUAACACAUGCAAGUCGAGGGGAAACGACAUCGAAAGCUUGCUUUUGAUGGGCGUCGACCGGCGCACGGGUGAGUAACGCGUAUCCAACCUGCCCACCACUUGGGGAUAACCUUGCGAAAGUAAGACUAAUACCCAAUGACGUCUCUAGAAGACAUCUGAAAGAGAUUAAAGAUUUAUCGGUGAUGGAUGGGGAUGCGUCUGAUUAGCUUGUUGGCGGGGUAACGGCCACCAAGGCGACGAUCAGUAGGGGUUCUGAGAGGAAGGUCCCCCACAUUGGAACUGAGACACGGUCCAAACUCCUACGGGAGGCA
rnacentral:rRNA from 1 species